CCUACGGGUGGCAGCAGUGAGGAAUAUUGGUCAAUGGACGAGAGUCUGAACCAGCCAAGUAGCGUGAAGGAUGACUGCCCUAUGGGUUGUAAACUUCUUUUAUAUGGGAAUAAAAUGUUCCACGUGUGCCUUUUUGUAUGUACUUUAUGAAUAAGGAUCGGCUAACUCCGUGCCAGCAGCCGCGGUAAUACGGAGGAUCCGAGCGUUAUCCGGAUUUAUUGGGUUUAAAGGGAGCGUAGAUGGAUUGUUAAGUCAGUUGUGAAAGUUUGCGGCUCAACCGUAAAAUUGCAAUUGAAACUGGCAGUCUUGAGUACAGUAGAGGUAGGCGGAAUUCGUGGUGUAGCGGUGAAAUGCUUAGAUAUCACGAAGAACCCCGAUUGCGAAGGCAGCUUACUAAACUGUAACUGACACUGAGGCUCGAAAGUGUGGGUAUCAAACAGGAUUAGAUACCCUGGUAGUC
rnacentral:rRNA from 1 species